AACGAACGCUGGCGGCAUGCCUAACACAUGCAAGUCGAACGAGACCUUCGGGUCUAGUGGCGCACGGGUGCGUAACGCGUGGGAACCUGCCCUUGGUUCGGAAUAACUCCCCGAAAGGGGUGCUAAUACCGGAUAAUGUCUUCGGACCAAAGAUUUAUCGCCUUUGGAUGGGCCCGCGUUGGAUUAGCUAGUUGGUAGGGUAAAAGCCUACCAAGGCGACGAUCCAUAGCUGGUCUGAGAGGAUGAUCAGCCACACUGGGACUGAGACACGGCCCAGACUCCUACGGGAGGCAGCAGUGGGGAAUAUUGGACAAUGGGCGAAAGCCUGAUCCAGCAAUGCCGCGUGAGUGAUGAAGGCCUUAGGGUUGUAAAGCUCUUUUACCCGGGAUGAUAAUGACAGUACCGGGAGAAUAAGCUCCGGCUAACUCCGU
rnacentral:rRNA from 1 species